rnacentral:rRNA from 1 species
AGGACGAACGCUGGCGGCGUGCUUAACACAUGCAAGUCGAGCGGAAAGGCCAUUUCGGUGGUACUCGAGCGGCGAACGGGUGAGUAACACGUGAGUAAUCUGCCCCUGGCUUUGGGAUAGCCACCGGAAACGGUGAUUAAUACCGGAUACGACCCGCCCUCGCAUGGGGGUGUGUGGAAAGUUUUUCGGCCAGGGAUGUGCUCGCGGCCUAUCAGCUUGAUGGUGGGUAAUGGCUCACCAUGGCUUCGGACGGGUAGCCGGCCUGAGGAGGGUGACCGGUCACGACUGGGACUGAGACGACGGCCCAGACCUCCUACGGGAGGCCAGCAGGUGGGAAUAUUGGACAAGUGGGCGGAAGCCUGACUCCAGCAACGCCGCGUGAGGAUGACGGUCUUCGGUGUAAACCUCUUCAGUACCGACGAAGCGGAAGUGACGGUAGACAGAAGAGACACCGCCAACGUACG